AACAACUGCAGACCUGAGUGGGCUUCAUUGACAAUGCACUACACUGGUUCAAAACUUAUUUAGAGAACAGGAAGUACCUUGUGUCAAUAGGUAACUUUACAUCUAAGCAGACAAGAAUUACAUGUGGAG